UCAAACUUUCGUCAUUUUUCCCCGCAAUCGAUCGUUUAGAUAACAUAACAUUAGCAAUUAAAACUAAAAAUAUAGGCUUAAAACGCGAGCUGAAUUUCAACUUAUAACCGAAACAGAUGCUUCUAGACUAGACUGUACCAGCUGAUACUAAUCCUUUUUUUGUUGGGGGAUGAAAGAACUUGUCCCCACCUCCUAAGCUUCAAGGUUAAGAAAGAACCAGUUUUCUUUCAUCACAAGGGGGAAAAUCAAGGAGAUGGAAGAAUUCCUCCUUCUGAGGUGAUUCCUCUUCAGGAGGAGGGGGAUUCCUCUUUAUAUUCUUUGUUAUCCAUACAGAGCAGAUAAGAAUGACUGGAAUUUCCUUACCAGCUAUGAGCUUUCAUUCAUUCCCCACCUCUACCUCCUCAUUUACUGCUUCAUUGUUGGAGAAGAUUUGUGGUUUUGCAUUGAAAUUUUCAUUCUAAGCGAUUUUUUUAAAAUUUUUUCUUUUGAAAAUUUUCUCUGAGGAACUGGACGUAUGAGUCCGGAUUUUAGAGACUUCCGGAGUUCAGAAGUCCGGAUUUUCGAGGUCGUACUUUAAAGAAUUGAAACUAAGGAUUUUUUAUUUUUUAAUGCUCUAGCAACAACAACAACGACAACAUUGGAAAGGGGGUAAACAUCAAUCCUCAAUAAUGAAUCUAUGUUACAUAUUUAAAGAAAUAUCUUUUGCUUAAUUAUUUCCAUAUUAAAAUGUACAAAAACAGACAAACACAAGUUAUUUUCACUGAAUAAAUAAUCAAUCACGAUUAAAUUUAAUGAGAGAGAAUUAUAAAUUUUUACCAAUAAUAAUAGCACUAUUUUGUUUUUGUGCUUCACUUAAAUUCCUUAGUUUAAUCGUGGAACAUAAUGUAGUAAAUAUUUUAUUGCCAGAAUUUUGCUGAAACUGUUUAUUUAUAUAUACUGAAAGGACUUAGAAUCAUAGUGCCAUUAAAUAAGGGAGAGCGUAUUAGUAACGAGUUGGAUCUAUGGCUACCGCAUCCCAUAUGUUAAAAUGUGUGUUAUAGUCAAUUUACUGCAUUAAUUUAUGAUGCAUACCCCUGUUCAGCAGGAUGCGAAUUACACCUAAUGCUUUGUUCCCAUCUUAAUUUACUAUACGCCUCACUGUAUACAAUUGUACGUACAUCCUCUAAGGAUAAAAUACUCUUUUAUGGUCAUUUAUCCUUUUCUGUCCUCAGAUAUCUAGUUUUAUCCCGUUUAUUUUAAAAUUCUCUGUAUACUUUGAGACACGGACUAGCUGGAAACCUCGAGUGUUUUAAUGAUCUUGGAAAUUGAAUAUGCGAAUCGUCAGACGGAAUUAGGAAUUGAUGUAAAUGUAGAGCUGUUCUUUAUUUAGGCACAUUAAUAGCAGCUACUUAUUUCAUUUGGCAAUUUGGUAUAUCUUUUAAUUUAUACGCUUUGGAGGUAGAUGAAUAACAAAUGCACGACGCUUAGGCUAUUUAAUUUACAAAAUUGCCAUGAAAAAAGGAUUUAACAGGUCGACAAUAUCUGGAGAAUUUACGAAUAUAGGGGAAAAAGUGAGCGAUGAGACACGCUACUAAAAUAAGCUUGAAUAAGAGUAGUGAAGGUAGCGAGCCGUUCUGUUCCUAACCAGCCUAGCCAAACAAUAGGUAAAAUUUGCAUCCAUCUGAAUAUGCUUGCCAUUCGUAGAGCCAGUAAACGGACUGUGAUAUGGGCCAUAAUGGCUUCGGGAAUUAUAGACUCAUCUCCUUAUUAACUUGAAAUUUCUAAUUAAAUGAUAUUUUAUUGAAUUAAGAACAUAUUAAUUGCGAAAACUUGUCCAAUGCGAUUGUUUAGAAACUUUCGAACAUGGUUUCCAACAUUUUACAAGUUCUCAUUAAAAAUUUAUUUUAUUUAUUAUAUUCUCCUUUAUUUUAAAAAUAACUAAUUGUUUAGUAGGAAAAUUAAAUUAAGUUUAUGUAAUGUUUCGCAGAAUGAUUGCCAGUUUCAAUUAAUUUGAUUAAAAAACGCUCUCGAAAAUAUAACUUCCAAUUUUAAAAAUAUUUUCUUACUUUAUAAAUAUGUCCAAAAUUUAAAAAAAAUACUUUGAUUUUGCGGAGCAUAUAACAAUUUUCUCCUUAAAUUAAAAUUAUUGAAACUUUUGAAACUAUUUCAACUUUAAUUUUUAAAUUUAUUUAGUUUGAAAUAGAAAAUUGAACAUUAAACUUACAGGUGAAUAUUGAUUUAAAUAAUGAAUAGAUUUGCGGAUAUUGAUUUAAAUAAUGAAGGAUGUGGUUUUAUUUCCUUGCAUAGUUUAUUUUUACAACUAAAAUUUUUAACAAAUAUAAAAUAAAUUUUUAUUUGCUUUUUAAUGAAGUAUUUUAUUUAGAGGUGAAAUUUAUGUGUAUUGCUUAAUAAACUAAAUAUUUGUACUUUUUUUGCAACAUAAAUUAGUGUUUCUCUACUAUCUUGAAAUGUUGUGAAAGAAUAUAUAAAUACAUGAAAAAUAAACACUUUGUGUUAACAUAAUUAGCUGCGGGUGGUGAUGACAAAGGCAGAGGAAAGCCAGGACGAGGUCGUCGACGUGGAGGAAAGGAUGGUCGUAAGUAAAUGAUUGAUAAAUAAAUUGUUGAAAACUUUAUGGUUUUAUUGAUUUAAGUCCAUGUACUCAAUAAAUUUGGAAUAGUGAAAUAAGCUUGAUACAAUUAAUUGUUUUUUUAAGUAGCAAUUUAGUGUACUGGAACAUUUUUCCAUAUAUUUAAUGUAAUAUGUUCUAUUGAUCCCAGUUAAAAUUUGUAAUUAUUCUUAUAUCAUGCUUGAACAUAUUUUAACGCCUACAAUAGUUCUUAAAAUUAUUACCAAACUUUAAAUACUAACUUUGAGAGCUUUUCGUAUUCAAUAAAUCGUAUUUAAGUAUUUCAAACGUAUUUCAAUAAAUGAUAUUAAACUAAAAAUGUAAGAAAAAAUUUUAUCAAUAUGAGACACUCUCUUUAAAAUGAAAAUUGGAACAUAACAAUUAAUACGAUAUUUAUUACUAUUAUAUUAUCAAAUUUUCAUGCGGCCGGCGUAAUUCACUAGGGAUAGGCCAAAUUUUCAAAUUCCGAAAGCUCCACAGUUUUUUUGAAGAAAAAGGUUGAAAAAUUUGUUAAAUCUAGAAAAAGUAUCAGAUUGUGUCAUAGUAUUAACACAUUUUAAGAAUGUAAGCUGUGAACGUAUCACAUAUUAAGCACCUAUUAUUGUCCCUGACUAUUUUUCCCAAAAAUGAUGAUUGGAUUACCCUCCUUUGAAUUUUGUGAUUACAAAGGUUUAACAAAUCAAUAACGUGGAAAAUUUAUUCUUCCUGAGAGUUACUAUAAACAGUGAAGCUGUGCUGUGCUGGGGAGAAACGUUUCCCACGGAACGGUUCCCGUCUGCUCGUCUGGAGACGAAUGGUUCCUGUCCAAACUAGCAUGCACCCGUAGUUAUCGCGCCUGAGGGUUGUAUUGCAUCACUCUAUAAACAUUUUUCAGGUAUUUACACAAAAACAUGCAAGUUACCAAUAAAGAUACUCAAGGUAAGUAGAGAUGAUCCAAAGAUAUCCUUCAGAACACUUUUAUAUGGCAGCUAUAUUCCUGCCACAUUCACCACCGAAAUUUAGGGGGAAGGAAACGAACUACUUCAGCUGUUACAGCUUCACAAGGAUGAGAAAGACAAUAUUGACAAUUACAGGCCACGCUAAGGGACCGAAAAUUUUAACAUUAAUUAAUGUGUGCUUUUUAUAAAUACAAUUAGGAAAGUUUUUCUAGUAAAAAUAACGAGAUUUCUUAAAUUAAAAUAAAUCAUCUGUGUUACUCUCAAAACCGAUAUAAAAAUAAUUUUAAAUGAAAAAUUUGAUUGAAGAGAUAUAUUUUUUCAAUAAAAUAUAUCGCAGGAAAUAGCAGUUGAAAUACGAAUUGAUUAAUUUCUCAUUGUUUCUGUACUGCACUGUUCUGUUAAUUUCUUAGUGCUUCAUUUUUUUAAUUUAGGGGAUAGUUGCAAGUGUAAGUAAAAAGCUUUCUGUAUUUAUAAAAAGUGAAAAAUCUGCAAUUCUUUCAGGAAGUUUAAAAUUACAAUAUAUUUAAACUAUUUAAUUAUGGAUUUUGAAUAUUAAAUAUAUGUUAUCUAAGUACAAAACAUAUGUCCUUGCAAAAUAUAAGCUAUUUUUUCUUAACAUUAUUUUUCUUAACCGAAAAUGUUUGUUUUAUACAUGCCAAUGCUUCAGACUAAUUCAAAUGAAUAAAAUAUUAUUUUGCGAAGUCUACUUAAAUUAUUUCUUAAUAUUAAUUCCAAUAUUUAAUAGUAAUCCGCGCAUCUUUUAAUAGAAAAAUGAGGGAAAUGUUUAAACGUAUGUCUUGGAUACAUUUAAUUCAGAAAAUAACAAAAUAAAUCAUUGAUAUGUUACGGUGAUAAAAAAGAGAAAAUUUACUUUUUAAUUAACUAAUAUACAGAUUUAGCUUAGUUGGAAAAUAGUUUUUUAGUAUAAAUAAUUUUAAAAGUCAAAAGCAAAAAAGUAAUUUACAUUAAUAAAUAUUUCACAUGAUAUUUUCAGCCCAAGGAAUUACUGGUAAACUUAUUUGUGUUAUUAUUAUAUUUUGAAUAAAAAAACAUAAUUUUAUGUUUGGUCAUUCUAUGUAGUGAAACGAGACAAUUAAUUCCCUUUUUUUAAAGUAUAACCACAAUCAUGAAACACUUUUGAAAUACUCAUAUCAUAUUCCUGUAUAAUAUCAUAGUAAAAAAUAUAUAGAAGCAUGGUUUUUUUAUUAAUAGUUUUUUAAGGAAAUGUAAUUUUCAAAAAAUAUUAGAACAUUUCAUUUAUAUUGUCUUAAGAGUUUAUGAAUUAAUUUGUAAUUUUCUGCAAUUGAAACAUACGGCUUUUUUAUGAGUAAAAGUACCAGUAAAAAUUGGUAACAAAUAAUUAAUUUAAAUCAAAAAUAAGGCUGUGAUAUUUUCAUACCCCGUUUAAAUUCUACAUUUAUUCAAAGUCAGAUCAGUUUCCAAUAACCGAGUGCAAUGUGUUUAAAAGGCAUGAUUUAAUUUUUCAAAAUCAGUAGUAAAGUAUGUAAAUAACCAAAGUAAAAAAUUUAGCUAGCUAAAUCAGUGAAAAUACGAGCAUUUUACAUUAUGUGAUUCAUAAAAUUCAACAGAAUUAUUAAUGUGUGAUUUAUUACAAUAAAACGAUCGCUGAAUGGUAAAUAUUAAAUAUCUAUCCAUUCAUAAAAUUUUAAAUACUCAAUUGUGUGAUUCCAAAAAAACCGGAAAUAACAUUAUCGGAUUUAAAAUAUUGAGAUUUUAAUUAGGAUGUGCAAAUUGCUAAACCAUUAGUAAGACAAUUAACAGUAACAAAACCCAAAAAAAUGACUAGAAAAGGACUUUUAUUUGUGAUGACAUAGUCAUGAAUUCAGCGCAUCAAAUUGUGAUUGUUCAAAUUUGAAGCUCAUGUCUUGUAAUAAAGUAUUAAAAAUGUCGUGUUAUUUUAAAAACCAGAUGAAAAAAAACCCAUGAAACCUAAAAUAACUGCCGAAUAUAUGCUCGCAAAAUGAUGUCGAUUAAAGUUAAAGCAUUCAUAUAUAUUCAGCUUCGAAAUCGGGUGUUGAAUUAACUUUAAUUUAGAAAUAAUGAAAUUCGGAUGACAAUGUAAAAAAUAUCGUAUAAACAAAAAUCAGGUAAAAUUUCUGCCGAGAAAAUGAUCAGAAAGCGACACAGAAUAACGACUUAAUAGUUGGGUGUCACAAUAUCAUUAUGCUAAAGUUUGAAAAAUCAUGUGAAGAUCACCGAAAAAAAGGAUAGGAAAGCAAUGCGGAUUUAUAAUGGGUUCGUCGUUAAUCAAAACUAACUCUAGUUUGAAAUUCGAGUCUCGUGAUUACAUUGUAUUUAAAAUGCAUGAAUUAAAAUAUGAAAAAAAGACAGAAAAGUGAUAAAAAAAGAAAAGAAUCCAGAUCAUUGGAAGUAGCAAUUAAUUUUUCAAUCAAAUGCAAAAGUAAUUUGCUGCUUGGUAAUCAAUGAAAUCAUGCCUUACAACCUAUCAAAAGUCAUAAAAUUAAAAAUUGCCUUCAAAUAAGAAUUCCUUGCCUGUAUAACACUUAAAAGAAUUCCUUGCCUGUAUGUGCACUUAAGAUAUAACACUGAGAUGACAUAGUAAUAGAAUAACCGACAAAAAUAUGUAUACACUUUUCGCCAUAAAAAUUAAGGCAUCUAGUAAGAGCUGUCAAAAGGAAGCGAAAUUUUACAUACACAAGCCCAACUUUAAUAUAAGAAAGUAGAAAAAUUAUCACUUACUUUAGGAAAAAAUGCGUUUGGACUAAUAUUUAUGGCAAGGAGAGUAUAUUUACAAACUCCAGAUAAAAUGUCACGUAAAUGUUUUUUCAAAUUGUGCGUUAUCUGCCUUGCGAGUCGAUUUGGAAAUUAUAGAAUAUAACAAGGGCUCAUAAAAUUUUAUAAAAUAUUAUUAAUUCAAUUAACUGUAACGGAAAUUCAGUAACACUAAAAGUCAGAUCUUAGUGAAUUUUUUUUUGACUAAGAAAAUGCAAUAAUGCGAUUUAACGAAAUACAUUUCACAUAAAUUAUUUUAUAUGUAUUUAUAGAUUAAUUAAUUUUUGUUUAUGAGUAUAAUACUUGUAACCGAAGGUUUCUUUGUAGUGUACUUUAAAUCAAAUAAAAUAUUUUUUUAACGAAACUUUUAAAAUAUUUAAAAAUCUUGAUAAACUUAACAUAGUAUAAAUUAAAAUUGCAAAAUCUACACGCGUAGAGAAGAAAACAACUAUUAGUUUAUUUUUUGAAUUUUUAGCGUUCAACUUUCUCAUUUGUUUCAAGGCAUUGACUAUAUAAUCUUUAUUUGUUUCUAUCUAAAAUGCCCCUUUUUCACUAUAUUAUAAUCUAUUAAAUCAUUCUGUGCAGUUUAAAAAUAUUGAAAAAUAUUUUGUGUAAAAAAAAUUUAACCCUCAGUUUCAUUUGUUUUAUGUAUAACAGGAGCUGUAGGUGGCCGUAAGUUUGUUUUUAAUACUUCAUAACAAUUGAAAAAGGUAAUAACUAUCAGGUAUUCUCACGCAAUCUCAAAAAUAUAUGUAAGUGAAAUAUUUAAUUAAAAAAAUUAACUUCAAAAGAUGGGAAUAAUUUUUACGGGGUUAAAAUAUUUUUUUCAAGUAUGAAAGAAUCAUCGAAAAUAAAUAAUUCAAUAAAAAAUAAUCUGAACGAACUGAUUUUGAGAAAACUUGUAAGUAUUUCAUUAAUAUUGACCGAAUGAUACUAUUUUUUUGUACGAAAUAUUUAAUUUGUUUUACCAAAUAGUAUCUUUAUUUUAUGACCUGUAAUAUAACCAAUUUCAUUUACGCCACUUUCAGAAGCACAAUAAUUAUAAUUGAGUCUGGGAUGGUUUAAACGGUGAAUGAACUAAAUAGUUUGAGAGUAUGUUCAUUAGCUAAAGCAUCAUUUAAUUGCCAAGUAAAAAAGUAAACUUGUGUUUUUGCAUUCCUGAAUAACAUACGAUUUAAAAAACAAAUAAAGGAAUGAGUUGGUUAGUUUGAGGGUUAGCUGGUUGCUUCCUCAUCUAUUAAGUAAGAAAACCAUAUAGUUAAAGAGAUAGUAAGUGAGUUAUUUAGGGAAUUACAAUUUUUUGAAUGUGUUUUAUUGUUGUGAUAGUGGGUUUGAGUGUUAGCGAGUAAGACAGCAAGUAGCAAUCUGCUACAGUUUGAAUUCGAUGGAGAAAUAUAAAUUUAUAAAUUUCACUUUAUUAAGGGAAAGUUAAAUAUACGAUUAAAGUCAUUGCGUCCAUCCCCCUCAAAUAAAUUUUAUUUUCAAGAAUAGCUUAUUUGCUUUCAUAAGGAAUAAAUUCCUAGAUUUUUAUUUACAGAUGACUCUCUUGCCAAAAUGUAUAACAAAGUUGAGAUAUUUUACAAUGAUUGCAAGGAACAAAACUUAUUAACUGUAAAUAUAUUACUUAACUUGGGCAAUGUUCUGAUGCUCCAAACACAACUGAUUUCAAUAAUUCAAAUAGGUAUAGGUAUUCAAAUAUGUAUUAUUUUCUAAGUAACACAUAUUGUAGGUGUUUAAUAAAUAUAAUCAAAAUUUGGAAAAGGUUUAUUUUUCAAAAAUAAAACACAGGUAAAUCUGCAUUAGUUCAUAGGAGAAAUGUUUACUAUUUGUGUAAAAUUCAAUAAAAAAUCCAUAUUAUACUAAUAAUUAUGUUUUCACAAUUUUUGAAAAAAUUUUUUUUUGUGAGUUCUGAUUUUUUUUUCGAAAUAAUGUUUCGGAAGCAGCUUAAUUCCUCUGAAUUAUUAGACAAAGCUUUAAGACUAUUUAGAUCAUUAUUUAUUGUUACUUUGUACUCUAGCUGAAUAAAAUAAAAGCAAAUAUUCCCUUUCUUUAUUUACAGUUGACAAAGGAGUUGACGCUGCAACAUCUGAUGUUGCUAAUGCUCUUGGGGGUAAGUAAAUUGUUUUGUACUAUCAAAAGAAAAAUUAUUAUUUUUUUAGAACAAGUAUUGAAUUCAAAGUACAAAAAUAGAAAGUAUAAUUGUAUUUUGCAUCUAGUACUUAAAUUUUAGAACAUAAAGCGAAAGGAAAAUAUAAGUCCGGAAAAUUGUUUUUUUUUUUUAAAAAAU